AUACGGAGGGUGCAAGCGUUAUCCGGAUUUAUUGGGUUUAAAGGGUGCGCAGGCGGAUAAUUAAGUCAGUGGUGAAAUCCUCCCGCUCAACGGGAGAACUGCCAUUGAUACUGAUAAUCUGGAAUACGGUUGAAGUGGGCGGAAUGUAGCAUGUAGCGGUGAAAUGCAUAGAGAUGCUACAGAACACCGAUCGCGAAGGCAGCUCACUAAACCGAUAUUGACGCUCAGGCACGAAAGCGUGGGUAGCGAACAGGAUUAGAAACCCCAGUAGUCC
rnacentral:rRNA from 1 species